AUACUAACCUAGCAGUGGAGAUACAAUGAUGAAGGUGGCUUUCCCAGGGAGAGUCUUAUCCACUAGACUCUGAAUGUGCUGACCCCUGUGAUUUCCCCAAGUGCAGUCUCUCACAGGGGUGGGGGACUGUUGUUCAUGCACUUGUAAUCCAAACCCUCC
rnacentral:snRNA from 1 species